rnacentral:rRNA from 1 species
CCUACGGGAGGCAGCAGUGAGGAAUAUUGGUCAAUGGGCGAGAGCCUGAACCAGCCAAGUCGCGUGAAGGAUGAAGGACCUAUGGUUUGUAAACUUCUUUUAUAUGGGAAUAAAGUGAGGGACGUGUUCCUUUUUGUAUGUACCAUAUGAAUAAGCAUCGGCUAACUCCGUGCCAGCAGCCGCGGUAAUACGGAGGAUGCGAGCGUUAGCCGGAUUUAUUGGGUUUAAAGGGAGCGUAGGUGGUUGAUUAAGUCAGAUGUGAAAGUUUGUGGCUCAACCAUAAAAUUGCAGUUGAUACUGGUUGACUUGAGUAUAGUUGAGGUAGGCGGAAUUCGUGGUGUAGCGGUGAAAUGCAUAGAGAUCACGUAGAACGCCGAUGGCGAAGGCAGCUUACUAAACUAUAACUGACGCUGAAGCACGAAAGCGUGGGGAUCAAACAGGAUUAGAUACCCGUGUAGUC